AACGAACGCUGGCGGCAGGCCUAACACAUGCAAGUCGAGCGCAGUCCUUCGGGACCGAGCGGCGGACGGGUUAGUAACGCGUGGGAAUAUGCCCUUUACUACGGAAUAGCCUCGGGAAACUGAGAUUAAUACCGUAUGUGCCCUUCGGGGGAAAGAUUUAUCGGUAAAGGAUUAGCCCGCGUUAGAUUAGGUAGUUGGUGGGGUAAUGGCCUACCAAGCCUACGAUCUAUAGCUGGUUUGAGAGGAUGAUCAGCAACACUGGGACUGAGACACGGCCCAGACUCCUACGGGAGGCAGCAGUGGGGAAUCUUGGACAAUGGGCGCAAGCCUGAUCCAGCCAUGCCGCGUGAGUGAUGAAGGCCUUAGGGUCGUAAAGCUCUUUCGCCAGGGAAGAUAAUGACGGUAC
rnacentral:rRNA from 1 species